CCUCCGCCGUACCCCGUCGACGGGCUAUCUCUGCCUGGAACGUUAUCUGCUGGUACGUACGUUACUAAUGAGCGAAAAAGAAUGAGAGGGACAGAGCAAGCGAGAGGAGGACCAACAGGAGGACGAGGAAGAGGAGGAGGAAGAGGAGGAGCAGGAGAAGAGGGGAGGCAGAAAGUGACGGAGGAGAAGAAAGGGGGUCACACCAAGAUCGCAACGGUUCAAGAUUUGCUUAUAUGCAGACAAAGAUUGCGAUUUUGAAUCUUAUUUCGAAAUUCAAAUUCAAAGUUCAUCCCCGAACUCCAACGCCAUUCGUGUACGAGGCAGGAUGCGCCGUACUCACGGUCAAAGAUGAUAUACAUCUCGUCAUCGAGCCAAGGUAAAAUAGUCGUAUUCUUUCUCUCUUGAUUCUAAGAAGGAACAUUUCUACUUGAUCCAUCCAAGUAGAUAUUAUUCGAAUUUCUUGCAAAUUCGGACAUCACAAUGUAUUUAUCGUGUUAUAAUUUACUUUGGUCAUAUUGUAAUGUAAUUGUUUUCAUGAUCGUGUUUACAACAGUUGUCCUAUUUUUAUUGUUAAGAAUUAGCAUUUAGCUAAUUGCAUGCAAUUGCAAAUUGAGAUGUUGUUUAAAUUUCGGAGAGAUUUAAUUUCUAUUAUCAUGUAAUACGUUAAAAGCUAAAUAAUCCGAGAUCCACUAUCAAAUGUCAUAUCUAAAAUUUCGUUCAAGUGUAUACACGCGAAAGGGAAAAA